AACACAAUACAUCCCCUCAGCAGCUUCGGUAAACCAAAGAAAGAAAGAAAGAAAAGAGAAAACAGGAAAAAAGGGAAAGGAAGGCUUACGAAGAGAAGGAGAAGAGAAGAGAAGGAGGACAGCGUCGGCGUUGGAGGAGGAGAAGCGCAAACCAGAGCCAUGGAAGGGAGAAGCAGAGCGCGCGCAGGGGAGGAGAAGCCGCCACUGCCCUCGCACUUGUCGUGGUCUUCACGGGGCCCAUGUCGCCGCCGUUGCCCUCGCCGUAAAGUCCGUAUCCACCGUUGUUGUGUCCACGCCGUCGCCAUCAUUGGAGCCGGAGAGAGAGCCCGUGAAGAGUGAGAGAGAGACUGACGAGAGAUUGAUGCGCGUGAGAAGAGGCGAAGCCGUCGCUGUCACCGUCGCGUGUGGAGUCGCUGCCAUCGCUGCUGCUGGAGGUAGGUGGCUGAUCCUUUGCCGCUGAAGAACAUCGCUGUCAUCAUCGGAGAACACUGCCGGUAAGAGUUUUAAUUUUGGUUUCUGUUCUUUUGGAUUCCGAGAAGAUUUUUGAAGCUGCAUAGUUGUUAUAAUUGAUCCACCGGAGCUUGUGGUCGCUAUCGGAGCUGUUGUCGGGUCAGUUUGGGAUUGCGGCUCAUCCGUUCUGCUAUUAUCAUAAGUAUUUUGUUUCGAACCCUCGGUGUUAGUAUUCCGUUAUCAUCUAUUGAGAAUUUCGCGUUGUUAAUAUCUCAGGGUUGAGUUUCGGAAAUUGUAUGAUUAAAAUAAAAGCUGCUGUGAUUCGUCUCGCUUCGUUUCUCGUGAUAAGUCGUCGUUGCUGUGAACCUUGAUUGUGGCUGUUGAUAUUGCCUGGGAAUCAAUGAGGUUGCUGCUGUGAGUUAAGAAUAGAAAGAGGACUGUUGACAUGUUAACUUUUAAGGGGUUCGACUUUGAGGUAGGGGUUUCUUUCUGACAACUCAAUUUUUAUAUUUGGAAUUUUUAUAAUUAGAUAUUGAUGAGAGAAUUACACUUUUUAGUGAUUGUAUAAGUCUUAUGCAUCGACUAGUUGUUUUUGGAUGAUAAUGAUUGUUUGUUUGAUUUAGUAAUUGUUGGUUUUGUUAAACAGACGGUUGCUGAAUCUGUUUCUUUAAAGUUUCAAAAUGAAUUAGAUUGGUGAAAACCAUUUGAUUUUGGGUUGGUUUGAUUUGAAAAUAGUUUGGUUGGGACUUGAAAAGGGUGGCAAAGUCUAAGUUUUAAGGGAAGUGCUGUCGUUAUUUAAUAAAAUUUGAGGCCUUUUUGAAAUGUUGUUUAUAAAAUUAUGAAUUUAAGAAUCAUGUUAUUUUACUCGAAUUAUUCACGAGAGCUUUGAUUUAGCAAAACUGGAACUAUUUCCGAGCCUUUAGAAACAGGUUUCUUUUCAAAGAAAGUAUUAUAUUGAGUGCAAGUAUUUAGAAAAGAAUUAUGUUUCGAUUUUGAUUUAAACCGAGUGGUUUCAUUUUAAGUAAUUUGGUUUUGAGUUUUGAUUUAUUUAAGAAAAGUUUUAUGUUUUGAGUUUGUUUAUAAAACUACAUUUUAAGGAAUUAUGACUCAAGGGAUGUAAUAAUUUUAAAGAAAGAGAUUGGUUGUCGUCCUCCCUAAAGUCUCGAGACUUUGCCGUGCUGUUACUUUGCCGUGCGGUUUAGUUAAUAAAUGAUUUUUUUAGUCUUUUGAAAGUGGUUUAAAUAUGAAAUGGUUUUGAAGUUGGAUUGGAGGAAAAUCUUAGCUAAGUAAGAAUGAGAUUUUUGUGUGAAAGGAGAACUUGUUUUAAGUAAAGUGGCUUUGGAGGUUUUAAAAAAGAUUAUAAGGAGUGAUGUUGGUUUUUAAAUAAAAAUGAAAUUAUUUCGAGCUUUGACCUGGCAAGAUUCAUGGUGGUUUACUGCUUGUCCAGUGUCGAGAUGUUACGUGGGGUUCGUGGUGGUAUACCGCCCACAUGUUUUCAAAAGAGGAUGUUAUGUGGGGUUCGUGGUGAUGUACCACCCACAUGUUUUUAAAUGAAAAUAUUGUGUGGGGUUCGUGGAGGUGUACCGCCCACAUAUUUUUAAAAGUGAAUGUUUUGUGGGGUUUGUGGUGGUUUACUACCCACAUGUGUGUGUUAUUUUUCCAAUUGGAGAUCUUGCGAGGUUCGUGGUGGUGUACCGCUCGCAAUGGUGGGGUUCGUGGCAGUGACCGCCAACCGGUUUUCAAGAGGAUGAUAUCCGGGUUAGCUACCGGAUAUGUUGGAUUCUAGCAAAGUAACCGACACGUGAGCUCACGGCCAGUAGAAAAGACAUACAUCAUAUGCAUUUAUGUGACAUUGUUUGGGUGUGCAUAUUGUACUUGGUUUGCCUAUGUGAAUAAUUCUGUGUAACUGCUAAUUGUUAUACUUGGUGUAAUUGUUCUUGAUUGUGUUUGAACCUCACUAUUUGUGUUUGUGAGUGUUGAUUCGGAUUUUGGUGAAUUGGGUGUUGAUUGAUUUUGUGUUGGGUUGGAGGUUGUGAUGUGACCUGGUUAUAUUUGGACUAGAGGCUACUAUUGGAUGGGUCAGUGUAAGUUUGAUGAAAUUACUUAUUUGGUACUUGUCGUGAUAUAUUACGAGAUACCGUGUUUAAUUCGAGUUUUAAUAAAUCCAAAUAUGAAUUCAGAUUUUGGGCAAUUAACUAAAGAUUCUUGAAAAUGUUUAGAUUAUUAAUAGUUGGUUUUACUAUGAUUCAUAAGUCGAGCAACGAUCACGGUAUUAUGAAGACAAUUUUAAUUUUACAUAUCUUAUUAUAGCAAUUCCCUAACCCUAUAGUGAGAACCAGCGAGGACGAUGUUCUCACUCUCCUACAGGUUUUUCCUUUUCAAGAUAUGGACGACGAAGUUCGGAUGAGUCUAUCUCAUUUUUGUUUACACAAUAUUUUGUAUUGUUUUAGUAGUUAUGUUUCCCUCACCUUUGUCUUUACAAUUUUGUAAGAGGGAUAGGAUGUUGAUAUGAAACGCUUGUAAUAAUAUGUAUAUAUUCUUUUUAAGUAUUGUAAUUUGAAUUGUAAGCAUGAAUUUAUGUUUUCAAGAAAAUGGUUUUUGAAAAUA